AUUGAACGCUGGCGGCAGGCCUAACACAUGCAAGUCGAGCGGAGCGGCGGACGGGUGAGUAAUGCCUAGGAAUCUGCCUGGUCGUGGGGGAUAACGUACGGAAACGGGCGCUAAUACCGCAUACUAUCAGAUGAGCCUAGGUCGGAUUAGCUAGAUGUGGGGGUAAAGGCCUACCAAGGCCACGAUCCGUAACUGGUCUGAGUGGAUGAGCAGUCACACUGGAACUGAGACACGGGCCAGACUCCUACGGGAGGCAGCAGGGGGGAAUAUUGGACAAUGGGCGCAAGCCUGAUGCAGCCAUGCCGCGUGUGUGAAGAAGGUCUUCGGGUUGUAAAGCACUUUUAGUUGGGAGGCGUUACCAACAGAAUAAGCACCGGCUAACUUCGUGCCAGCAGCCGCGGUAAUAC
rnacentral:rRNA from 1 species